rnacentral:rRNA from 1 species
UAGUCCACGCUGUAAACGAUGAUGACUAACCGUUGGCGAUAUACAGUCAGUGGCCAAGCGAAAGCGAUAAGUCAUCCACCUGGGGAGUACGGCCGCAAGGCUGAAACUCAAAGGAAUUGACGGGGGCCCGCACAAGCGGAGGAACAUGUGGUUUAAUUCGAUGAUACGCGAGGAACCUUACCCGGGCUCGAACGGCAGGGGAAUUCACAAGAGAUUGUGAAGUCUUCGGACUCCUGUCG